GACGAACGCUGGCGGCGUGCUUAACACAUGCAAGUCGAACGGAAAGGCCCUGCUUUUGUGGGGUGCUCGAGUGGCGAACGGGUGAGUAACACGUGAGUAACCUGCCCUUGACUUUGGGAUAACUUCAGGAAACUGGGGCUAAUACCGGAUAGGAGCUCCUGCUGCAUGGUGGGGGUUGGAAAGCUUCGGCGGUUGGGGAUGGACUCGCGGCUUAUCAGCUUGUUGGUGGGGUAGUGGCUUACCAAGGCUUUGACGGGUAGCCGGCCUGAGAGGGUGACCGGCCACAUUGGGACUGAGAUACGGCCCAGACUCCUACGGGAGGCAGCAGUGGGGAAUAUUGCACAAUGGGCGGAAGCCUGAUGCAGCAACGCCGCGUGCGGGAUGACGGCCUUCGGGUUGUAAACCGCUUUCGCCUGUGACGAAGCGUGAGUGACGGUAAUGGGUAAAGAAGCACCGGCUAACUACGUGCCAGCAGCCGCGGUGAUACGUAGGGUGCGAGCGUUGUCCGGAUUUAUUGGGCGUAAAGGGCUCGUAGGUGGUUGAUCGCGUCGGAAGUGUAAUCUUGGGGCUUAACCCUGAGCGUGCUUUCGAUACGGGUUGACUUGAGGAAGGUAGGGGAGAAUGGAAUUCCUGGUGGAGCGGUGGAAUGCGCAGAUAUCAGGAGGAACACCAGUGGCGAAGGCGGUUCUCUGGGCCUUUCCUGACGCUGAGGAGCGAAAGCGUGGGGAGCGAACAGGCUUAGAUACCCUGGUAGUCCACGCUGUAAACGGUGGGUACUAGGUGUGGGGUCCAUUCCACGGGUUCCGUGCCGUAGCUAACGCUUUAAGUACCCCGCCUGGGGAGUACGGCCGCAAGGCUAAAACUCAAAGGAAUUGACGGGGCCCCGCACAAGCGGCGGAGCAUGCGGAUUAAUUCGAUGCAACGCGUAGAACCUUACCUGGGUUUGACAUGGAUCGGGAGUGCUCAGAGAUGGGUGUGCCUCUUUUGGGGUCGGUUCACAGGUGGUGCAUGCCUGUCGUCAGCUCGUGUCGUGAGAUGUUGGGUUAAGUCCCGCAACGAGCGCAACCCUUGUUCACUGUUGCCAGCACGUUAUGGUGGGGACUCAGUGGAGACCGCCGGGGUCAACUCGGAGGAAGGUGGGGAUGACGUCAAGUCCUCAUGCCCCUUAUGUCCAGGGCUUCACGCAUGCUACAAUGGCUGGUACAGAGAGUGGCGAGCCUGUGAGGGUGAGCGAAUCUCGGAAAGCCGGUCUCAGUUCGGAUUGGGGUCUGCAACUCGACCUCAUGAAGUCGGAGUCGCUAGUAAUCGCAAAUCAGCAACGCUGCGGUGAAUACGUUCCCGGG
rnacentral:rRNA from 1 species